rnacentral:rRNA from 1 species
GACGAACGCUGGCGGCGUGCUUAACACAUGCAAGUCGAGCGGUAAGGCCCUUUCGGGGGUGCACGAGCGGCGAACGGGUGAGUAACACGUGGGUGACCUGCCCUCAGCUCUGGGAUAAGCCUGGGAAACCGGGUCUAAUACUGGAUAUGACUCCAUGACGCAUGUUGUGGGGUGGAAAGCCUUGUGCGGCUGAGGAUGGGCCCGCGGCCUAUCAGCUUGUUGGUGGGGUGAUGGCCACCAAGGCGACGACGGGUAGCCGGCCUGAGAGGGCGACCGGCCACACUGGGACUGAGACACGGCCCAGACUCCUACGGGAGGCAGCAGUGGGGAAUCUUGCGCAAUGGGCGAAAGCCUGACGCAGCGACGCCGCGUGAGGGAUGACGGCCU